rnacentral:lncRNA from 1 species
AACCCUGGAGGAUAGUCACUUGGCCCAGUAACACAGGUGCUAAUGAGCAGCGACUAGAGACUGACCAGAGCAGGGAGUUUGGCCACCUGUUGAGGAGUGAUCAGAUGGCACUUAAAACGCAACGCACAGAAGGUAACACAAUUGUAAGAAUUCUUAGCUCAUUCAGAAGUAACUUUUAUUGGUCACUUGCUUGUUUAAUAAUCAAAAGCAUAACGUCAGCACAAAAGCACAGAAAGCUACUCUGGUAAGACACAGAGUCUCUGCCACUCGAGAUUACAUAGAAGAGAAUGUCCGAAAUACACCUCCAGUCUCUCACCUCAGAAGCACAUCACCACGGUGGUGGGGAACCGGAGUUCAGUACAUCCCAUAGGACAUCCUCCCAGGGGACAUUCUUCCGUGGGACUUUGUCCCAUGGGGCAUUCUUUGUUUCAUAGGACAUCGCACUGGCCCGCUGUAUGGAGGAUACUGGCUGAGAGGAGCUGCAGAGCCAGAGGAUGCAUUGGUAAUUGUAAUAUUUCAACUUUGUCAACUUUGGUGACAGAGAAAGAAAAACCCAGGGAAACAUUCUACAAUCGUCUUUCUGAAACUGGAGAUGACACCGCAGUAGGUUUCAGCCUCAUGUCGUCUCCUGUCUCCUUGACAGGCCCUCCUUGGUUACCCGCCUGGAAGAAGUCUCCCCACCCGGUGUUGCUACGUAUCACAAGACUUCGUUUUCUUUCACUGUAAUUGUCACGCUUUCGACCGUUUUGCGUGUUUACUUUAUUUCCAAAUCUCCUCACCUGCACCAGAUUUAACAAAUCCUCUCACUGAGGCUGACCUGGCUCCUGCUGAUCUGAGUGCCCAGCAGCCAGCAGCCUGUGAACACCGUGUGUGUCACAUGUGUUGGAGGGGGCACUGAUUUGUCCCCAACAGAGUAGACACAUCAAGCUGUGGCCCAGCGUGCUCCUGUCUGGCCAGCACCUGUGGACUGACUGAGGGUCUCACUCACCAUGGUUUUGCCACACUGCACUGCUUCUGACAAAAGAACCUGCUUUAAGGGGGAAGGAGCAGAGCAAAUGCACCCAACUGUCCACGUGACGUCUCUUUCAGGAUGUUUUAAAGGCAUCUCAUGCUCAGCACAUCCAAACCAAACUCAUGAUCUUCCCCCGUAACCCAAGGCUCUUCCGCCAUUCUCUGAGUGAACGGUGCUGACAGCUCCCUGGUACCCAGACCAGAAACCUCAGCGCCAUCCUUGUCGCCUCCCCCUCUCUCAUCCUCAUACCUAAUCCAUUUCCAAGUCUUAUUAAUGUUCCCUUCUAAACAUUUCUUGAAUGCAUCCACUUCUCUCCGUUUCCUCCAUCCAUGCUGGGUGGAACUUUCAGGAUGACUCUUUGUUAUGGUAUUAAACAGAGACUGCCACAGCUUGACCCUCUUCUUCCUCGUUGCUGCUGGCAGUGUGGACGUGAGCCAGGGAGGUGCAGAAGGUCUCUUGUAAUCAUGAGGCAACAAGGACAAACACCUCUGUGCAGGAGGAUGCAAAGUGGAAAGACGGAGUGAGCCUGGAUCCCUGAGAGGUCACUGCGCCGCCGUGCCGGGCCUGGACCACCCGCCUGGACUCGCAGAGCCCUCGAUGUACGCUUCUCUCUAGUGUGUGAGGCAGCCGUCAUGAGGGUGUAGGUUUCACUUUCUGAGGAAUGAGAAUUAUGUUUCCAAACAGAAAGAAAGCAAUGAUGUUUGUCCCUUUGACUCAAGUUAGAACACUUCCAAAACCAACACACUCAAGAGCAACACCGUCUACUCUAAACCUAAUCCACAUCAAGAGAGAGGAGAAAAUAAAACUUUAUCUUUAUGUCAAAAGGUUCAAGAAUGUUUGAGAGAAUCAUACCUGUCUUAGAUUGAGUCUCAGCCCAUCGCCCUCCCCUCCUCCCAACACACACACACAUACACAUACAUAUACACAUACACACGCACACACACACGCACACACAUGAACAUACACAUGCACACACAUGUGUGCAUGCACAGACACACAUAUGCACAUACACACGAGCACACACACGCACAUGCACACACGUGCACACACACCUUUCUCUCCAAAUGUCCAAGAUACAGGAGCUCACAAAUCCCUAAAGGAAAGGAGAUACUCCCCCUUUACUGAGUUCCACACUUUGUGGCUGUAAAAGGACAUCUUAGUGGCCCAUGAAACCAUUUAUUAUAACAAAAGUGAGGUAUAACAAUAUGACAAAAUUUGAAAGUUUAAUGUGAAACCCUAACCUUAAUAACACCUUCACUCCUUGUUCAGUCAACAGUAGUGGUAACGGUACCCUCGCUCUUCACAACUCUUGUACGCACCCUCCGCCCUCAGAGUCUGGUCUCUAAGGCUCAUCUCCAAUGCACAGAUAUGACUCUUUGAAGAAUCCUAUAGCUUAUGACAGAAAAAAUGUCAAGAUGGAUCUGGAACAUCCUAUUUUUGUCCCAGGGUCGGAGCUAAAAGGAUGAAGUGGAAGGCAGUCUUAGGGGGUUCCAGCAGCC